rnacentral:rRNA from 1 species
UACGUAGGGGGCAAGCGUUGUCCGGAAUCAUUGGGCGUAAAGAGCGCGUAGGCGGUCCGGUAAGUCCGCUCUGAAAGUCCGGGGCUCAACCCCGGGAGGCGGGCGGAUACUGCCGGGCUAGAGUCCGGAAGAGGCGAGUGGAAUUCCUGGUGUAGCGGUGAAAUGCGUAGAUAUUGGGAGGAACACCAGUGGCGAAGGCGGUCCCCUGGGCCGGAACUGACGCUGAGGCGCGAAAGCGUGGGUAGCAAACGGG